UUUUUUUUUUUUUUUUUUUACAGCCGCACCAGUGGCAUACGGAAGUUCCUGGGCUAGGGGUUGAAUCAGAGUUGUAUGUGUGGCCCAUACGACAGCCACAGCAAUACCGGAUCCUUAACUCACUGAGUGAGGCCAGGGAUUGAACCUGUAUCCUCAAGGACACUUAUGUCAGGUUCUUUUUUUCCCUUUUUAGGGCUGCACCUGCGGCAUAGGGAGGUUCCCAGGCUAGGGGUCGAAACAGAUGGAACCCUCACUCUCAUGGAUACUAGUUGGGUUCGUUUCCACUGUGCCAAGAAGGGAAUUCCUCUCAUCUCUUUAUGCGUGAGGUUUUGUUUUGUUUUUAUCUUCCGCACAUAAGUGGACUCACACAGCUUCCGUCUUUCUCUGUCAGACUUACUCGCCCAGCAUGAUGCCCUCAGCCUCAUCCAAGUUGUUGCCAGUGGCAGGACCUCCUCCUUCUCCUGGCUGAAUAAUGUCCCAUUGUAUAUACAGUCAGCCCUGGUUUCCUCCUUUGUGCAUACAUAGGGCCAUUUUAUAUAAGGGACUUGAGCACCCAGGGAUGUUGGUAUCCACAGGAGUCCUGGAGCCAAUCCCCUAGGGAAACAAAGGGACAAAUGUAUAUGCCAUGAUUUCUUUCUUUUUUUUCUUUUUGCUAUUUCUUGGGCCGCUCCCGUGGCAUAUGGAGGUUCCCAGGCUAGGGGUCGAAUCGGAGCUGUAGCCACCGGCCUACGCUAGAGCCACAGCAACGCGGGAUCCGAGCCGCGUCUGCAACCUACACCACAGCUCACGGCAACGCCGGAUCCUUAACCCACUGAGCAAGGGCAGGGACCGAACCCGCAACCUCAUGGUUCCUAGUCGGAUUCGUUAACCACUGCGCCACGACGGGAACUCCUGCCAUGAUUUCUUUAUUCAUCAUCUGUCCCUAAGACCCGACUAGGAAUUUUGGUCUUUAUCCUAAAAGCAAUGAGAAACCACAAAUUUUUUUUUUUUUUGUGCCGCAUCCAUGGCAUAUGGAGGUUCCCAGGCUAGGGGUCCAAUGGGAGAUAUAGCUGCCGGCCUACACCACAGCCACAGCAAUGCUGAAUCUGAGGCACAUCUGUGACCCAUGCCACAGCUCACGGCAAUGCCGGAUCCUUAAUCCACUGAGCAAGGCCAGGGAUCAAACCCGCAACCUCAUGGUCCCUAGUCAGAUUCAUUUCCUCUGUGCCACAACGGGAACUCCUAAAAUGUUUUGAACUGGGAGGUGAAUUGGUCAGAUCUGUGUUUCUAAGUUUCACUUAAAAAACAGAUCAGGAAAUGAACAAAAACAAAGGUCAUAACAAAAAGAUAUGUCUGAUGAAAUCAACAAGAGAAUAAAGAAAUAUAUACUCGGCAAGGCAAAUACUACAAGAUAUAUGAAGAUGUAAGUACAUUUGCCUCAGAAAACGAACUGUGUGGGCCUCAGAAGUUACGACAUAUGCCUGGGGAGCGAGAAUAAUCACAACAUACAAGUAUUUACUAAUGAAUUGACCAUGUAGCAAAGAAACCCUUGCAACGGUCUCUCAGGAAGUCACCCUGGACUCUGGUUUCCAUCACUGCUGCUCCAUCCCUGUCUGUCUGCCUCUCACUGUCAGUUCUUUACAAUUCCACGUACAUACAGAGUGGCUUGGUAAGUUUUGCAAAAUAUGAAAGCUUUCAUAAAGUCAGUGAAAGUGAUAUUGGAGAAACCUGCCAAGCAUCACCUGUGACAGUGAGGACCAGCCAGAGUCUGACCGGCACAGCGGUCAUUGUGGCUGAUUGGCCAACUUUUCAUACUGCAAGUGAUCAGUAACCUGUUGCUAUUACCACUUACUUAACUAAGAACGACUUAAGCAGGAUUUUAGAAUAUGAAUGCUUAAGGGGUUAAAUAUUUUUUUGAGAUUUUUCACGUUUUAAAAAUUUCGUUUUGACCCCCCCAAUUUUAAUUAAUUAAUUAUGUUUUGUCUUUUUAGGGCUGAACCCAUGGCAUAUGGAGGUUCCCAGGCUAGGGGCUGAAUAGGAGCUGCAGCUGCUGGUCUACACCACAGCCACAGCCACGUGGGAUUCGAGCCACGUCUACAGUCUACACCACGCUCAUGGAAACACUGGGUCCCUGACCCACUGAGCGAGGCCAGGGUUUGAAACCACAUUCUCAUACAUACUGGUCAGGUUUGUUAACCACUGAGCCACAAUGGGAACUCCUGGAACCAGUAUUUUAGUGGCUUUUAACUAUGGCUGUAGAAUCAAAAUGUUGGAAGAGGUUUUGAAAAGUGCCAGUGUUGGAGUUCCCUGUUAAGGACCUGAUGAUCUCUGAGAAGAUGCAGGUUCGAUUCCUGGCCUUGCUUAGUGGGUUAAGGAUCUGGCGUGGCCACAAGCUGCAGCUUAGGUCAUAGACGUGGCUGGGAUCCAGGGUCGCAGCGGCUGUGGUGCAGGCCUGCAACUGCAGCUCUGAUUCGACCCUUAACCCCAUAGGCCACAGGUGUGGACAUAAAAACACAAAUAAAAUAAAAGUGCCAAUGUCUUGUCAGCUUGGAGAGAUCAGAGUUGAAUUGUGAAUUCCAUUGAUUCGGUUGGAUGUUUGUGAUUCUACAUCACGGCCAGUGUUGAGAAAACCUACCCCAGCCCUGAGUGCUGGCUACCCCUCCGUUGCCUCCUCUCCAUCGUCCCCUGUGCUGUAUCUUUUUAAAUCUCGCCUCUGCCUCUAACUCCACAACCACAGAACAAGAUGGGGAACCCCCUGCUCUCAGCACUGCUGUGCAUCAAAAAGGAAUUUGUCCUGAGGCAUAGCUGCUACUUUGGCAUUAUUCUUCCCCGAAUUCCGCAGUGACUUCUAAAUAUAAACUUUCAAGACACCGCCGAGUGAAGUUCCUAGGCCACAGAUUUCAAGCCCCCUGCCUUCCCCAGCCCUCCUUCCACGUGGCCUCUGUUUUUACCCUCAGACAAACCGAGGCUCCCCGUCUUCGUUAUGCUCGUCCCCUCCUGCCUCCAGCCACGCUCCAUUCCAUGUUCCUUUUGUUGUAUUAGAGCUUUGCGCUCUGCUCAUCCUCCAAGCUCGAGUUGCGUUUUCCUUUGCUCUCAGAAUCUGGGUCCAGUCACUCCUUAGAUAACUGCUCCGUUCAGACAGCGCUGUCUGUAUUUACCUGGUUCUGCUCUGGGGCUUUUUCAUUGUUCAUUUGUUGUCUUUUGGCAUUUCUAUGGCAUUGUUUUGACUUCUCAAAAGUUAAGAAGUGGGUACUGUUUAUCCCUCCUCUGUCCAAUAAGUGUUCUGCAUACAGGAGGCACUCGGCCAAUGGCUCAUCGACGGCCAGGUCUCUGCCGAUCAAGUGUGACACUCCCAUCUUCCCGCCUGGGCCAAGCCCCAAACACAACUGUCUUAUCUACUACAGCUGACAGGUCUGCACAGCCAUCUGCUCAGACCCCGAGCUUGGAAUCCUUUGGGGGGGAGAUCCCUAUCUGUGGGCACAAGUCUGAGUGGGCGUAUGAGUGAGAGGACUUUCCAUGCUGAGCACGAAAGCCUUUGGUUUCCAGCCAAAGGCAAUUACAUGGACAAUCUGGACCUGUUUGUGAUUCUUGGUUUUGUGGCCUUUGUGCUUCUCUCCAAGAGCCACCCCAUUGCUAAGGGACUAGCCUCACGCCAGCCGUUUGCCUGCCAUGGCUUUUUAGUAACCCCCAGACCUUUGGCGUUGUUUGCAGUGCUGUGUGAGUAUAUGCAUUUUCUCUGCACACCGGAAGUAAGUGGCCGAUCUCUGCUCACCAUAUGUGAGAGCCACACGCUUGUUCCCGAGUCUAAAUUGUACAAUGCAGGAUGGUAUGUAUGGUGAGAUAACGUGAAUUGUUUGGUAUUUGCUUCACAUCUGUCUGUAACUCCUUGGGGGUAGAAAAGGUUAUUUUCUAGUCCUACCAAGUCUAGUACAGCUGGAGAUGGCCAGAUCGUUGUGGCUUAGCAGACGGUUUGGGCCAGAGAAGGAUGGAUGGCAUUAUCCAAGGUACAGGAGGGAAAAGCCAGUGGUUCUCAAACUUGGGUGUGCUUUAGAAGCACCUGUUAAAACACUGAUUGCCAGGCUCUACCCUCAGAGUUUGGGGUUCACAAGGUCUGGGUUUGGUUGGAAGAUUUGCAUUUCCUUUUUUUUUUUUUCUUUUUGGCUGCACCCAUGGCAUAUGGAAGUCCCCAAGCCAGAGAUUGAACCCAUGCCUCUGC
rnacentral:lncRNA from 1 species